rnacentral:rRNA from 1 species
GACAGAGGGGGCGAGCGUUGUCCGGAGUCACUGGGCGUAAAGCGCGCGCAGGCGGUCGCCUAAGUGUCGUGUGAAAGCCCCCGGCUCAACCGGGGGAGGCCAUGGCAAACUCGGCGGCGGGAGCGGCGGAGAGGCCCCUCGAAUUGCCGGUGUAGCGGUGAAAUGCGUAGAGAUCGGCAGGAAGACCAAGGGGGAAGCCAGGGGGCUGGCCGCUUGCUGACGCUGAGGCGCGACAGCGUGGGGAGCAAACCGG